UAAAAAAUAUAAUUACUACCACGGUUUUAAAAUAACCGUGGUAGAAUAAACUUUCUACCACGGUUUUGAAAUAACCGUGGUAGAAUAAACUUUCUACCACGGUUUUGAAAUAACCGUGGUAAAA